GAUGAAGAACGCAGCGAAAUGCGAUAAGUAAUGUGAAUUGCGGAAUUCAGUGAAUCAUCGAAUCUUUGAACGCACAUUGCGCCCGCCAGUAUUCUGGCGGGCAUGCCUGUUCGAGCGUCAUUUCAACCAUCAAGCCCCCGGCUUGUGUUGGGGACCUGCGGCUGCCGCAGGCCCUGAAAUGCAGUGGCGGGCUCGCUGUCACUCCGAGCGUAGUAGUUACAUCUCGCUCUGGGCGUGCUGCGGGUUCCGGCCGUUAAAAGCCUUAUUUACCCAAGGUUGACCUCGGAUCAGGUAGGAAGACCCGCUGAACUUAAGCAUAUCAAUAAGCGGAGGA
rnacentral:misc_RNA from 1 species